rnacentral:rRNA from 1 species
CCUACGGGAGGCAGCAGUGGGGAAUAUUGGGCAAUGGAGGCAAGUCUGACCCAGCAACGCCGCGUGAAGGAAGACGGCUCUCGGGUUGUAAACUUCUUUUCUCAGGGACGAAGAAAGUGACGGUACCUUAGUAAUAAGCCACGGCUAACUACGUGCCAGCAGCCGCGGUAAUACGUAGGUGGCAAGCGUUGUCCGGAUUUAUUGGGUGUAAAGGGCGCGUAGGCGGGCGUGUAAGUCAGAUGUGAAAACUCGGGGCUCAACCAUAGGACUGCAUCUGAUACUGUGUUGCUUGAGUGCUGGAGAGGCAAUCGGAAUUACGUGUGUAGCGGUGGAAUGCGUAGAUAUACGGAGGAACACCAGUGGCGAAGGCGGAUUGCUGGACAGUAACUGACGCUGAGGCGCGAAAGCGUGGGGAGCAAACAGGAUUAGAUACCCGGGUAGUC